rnacentral:rRNA from 1 species
UACGGAGGGGACUAGCGUUGUUCGGAAUCACUGGGCGUAAAGGGCGCGUAGGCGGCUUUAUAAGUCGGGGGUGAAAGCCUGUGGCUCAACCACAGAAUUGCCUUCGAUACUGUAGAGCUUGAGACCGGAAGAGGUAAGUGGAACUGCGAGUGUAGAGGUGAAAUUCGUAGAUAUUCGCAAGAACACCAGUGGCGAAGGCGGCUUACUGGUCCGGUUCUGACGCUGAGGCGCGAAAGCGUGGGGAGCAAACAGG